rnacentral:rRNA from 1 species
GGCGGACGGGUGAGUAAUGCUUGGGAACAUGCCUUGAGGUGGGGGACAACAGUUGGAAACGACUGCUAAUACCGCAUAAUGUCUACGGACCAAAGGGGGCUUCGGCUCUCGCCUUUAGAUUGGCCCAAGUGGGAUUAGCUAGUUGGUGAGGUAACGGCUCACCAAGGCGACGAUCCCUAGCUGGUUUGAGAGGAUGAUCAGCCACACUGGAACUGAGACACGGUCCAGACUCCUACGGGAGGCAGCAGUGGGGAAUAUUGCACAAUGGGGGAAACCCUGAUGCAGCCAUGCCGCGUGUGUGAAGAAGGCCUUCGGGUUGUAAAGCACUUUCAGUAAGGAGGAAAGGUUAGUAGUUAAUACCUGCUAGCUGUGACGUUACUUACAGAAGAAGCACCGGCUAACUCCGUGCCAGCAGCCGCGGUAAUACGGAGGGUGCGAGCGUUAAUCGGAAUUACUGGGCGUAAAGCGUAC